GAGGCAGCAGUCGAGGAUCUUCGGCAAUGGGCGCAAGCCUGACCGAGCGACGCCGCGUGUGCGAUGAAGGCCCUCGGGUUGUAAAGCACUGUCGAGGGGGAGGAAGCCGCAAGGUUGACCUAUCCCUGGAGGAAGCACGGGCUAAGUUCGUGCCAGCAGCCGCGGUAAUAAUC
rnacentral:rRNA from 1 species